rnacentral:lncRNA from 1 species
CUCCUUCUAGCUGAGGUAUAUAGAAGAAUAGACAUCAUUUCUUUAUCCAAGUUUUACUAGGGCAUUAUUUUCUCCAGCCUGGUUCUUGAAAUCCAUUCAUCGUCAGAAAGAAAUUCUUAUGUGGGCUUUAAAUAUUACUAAAAAAACUAGUAAAUACUUUAACAAUUUAACGUUCAAAACAUAGUUCAUCCAUCUAUCUAAAGAGAGGAAAAAAACGUACCUUCAGCAAAUAACGUAUCCCAUAAGGGGAAAAAAAAAACUCUUGAGGAGAAAUUUACAACAUAUGAGAAAAGAUUGUCAAGCUGCUGUUUGUCCGCAAAGGAUAAAGGCUUGAAUAAGGCUCUGUGCAGUACGCAACUGAUCUGAUGUUCCGGACACUACAACUAAACCCUCAGCAGCCCCCGGCUUUGGNNN